rnacentral:rRNA from 1 species
CACGCCGUAAACGAUGGGUACUAGGUGUAGGUGGUUUCGAUACCAUCUGUGCCGGAGUUAACGCAAUAAGUACCCCGCCUGGGGAGUACGUGCGCAAGCAUGAAACUCAAAGGAAUUGACGGGGGCCCGCACAAGCGGUGGAGCAUGUGGUUUAAUUCGACGCAACGCGAAGAACCUUACCAGGCCUUGACAUCCCCUGACCGUCAUGGAAACAUGGCUUCUCUUCGGAGCAGGGAGACAGGUGG